AGUGGGACAACCCUAUUUUCGACCUAGCCGUUCUCUCUCUCUCUCUCUCUCUCUCUCUCUCUCCCCUCCCUGAGCUCAACUCCUCGCCUCCUCCCUAACCCUAGCUCCCUAACCCUUUCGAUGGGAUCGACGGCUCAGUGUGGGAUUUGGUGAGGGGAAGGCAUGCGGCUGAUAGAGAGUAAGAGAGAUCGUGGGCGAGGGAGAGAGAAAGAUAGGCAUUCGAUGAAGGGAAGGCAUGCGGUUUGUAGAGAGGGCGGAGGGAGGGAGGAGAAGACGAAAAUCAACUGCAACAAGUUCAUGGAUAGGGUCGCAGCAAUGAAGACCCCUCGGCAGUAGAUUCAAGUCAAUCUUGGUUUUCUGGCCGAUUUGGAGUAGGUUUACACUAAAAUUGAGAAAGCACAUAUGAACGCAAAGGCUCGAGGAUGUACGACAACUUGGAAAAGGUAACUCUCGAAGAUGUCAGGUUUGAGAAGGGAAAAGGUACUAUGAAUUGGGACCCGACAAUCCACCAUACGCUGCCAAGUUCUACAAUUGUUGUGGGGCUGCACGACCAGUUUCCAUGUUUCGUAUGAUGACGAUUGAUCCAUUUGUCAUCGGUUUUCUUAAAGGAUAAAUCCAAGCGAUAAUGCCCUUUCUGAUUGUUGAUAAAUGUUUGCUAGAUGCUCUAAAUGCUUGAGGAAAAAUGAGAGUACUAUAGAAGGCUGCUGCAAAAGGCUGCCUUGAUCAUUAGAUGGUGAUGUUUGGGAGAUUGAGAGUAGGAUAGGAUAAUUUGUUCAUCUGCGCUGGCACUGAUUUCUAUCCAUUUUGAGAGGAAAGCAGAUUUGGGUUCCAACUAAUCCUCGAGGGACAGAAAGCCUGGCGCCUGGUAUCAUUGCAUCUGAGUCGGAUUUCUAUCUUCGCCGACUAUGGGGUCUGCCCAGUGAGGACUUACUUGUCAAGCCAAAGUAUCUUGUAACCUUGACCGUAGGUUGUGAUCAGAAAAAUAACGUUGAUGCAGCAGUUAAAUGGGUCAGUUCUCUCAACAGUAGCGAAGUUCACAUGUAAGAUUGGCAUGACAUGUUUAAGCUCUUUGGAAACAGAGUGUUCAAACACUUUUCAAAGUUUGAGUCCCAACAUUUGUUCAAAAUUGUAUAAAAGAUCAAUUAUGCAAAUUUGUAGUAUAUUCUUAUAUCAAAGAUAUUACAAUUUGUUUCCUCACCAAAAAAAAAAGAAAAAUAUUAUAUUCAAA